CAUGUCUAAACUUGAAUUAAUUUCCGGCGGUAUUGUCUCCAUUGCCGUGCUUACCUGUGCCCACUUGCAUUCGCCAUAUAGAGGUUAACCCGCAACCUCGAGAUUUCAGCUCUGCCAGCCGGCCCAGCCGUCCCAGUUCAUCACCAACUAUCACCGCAUGACGACCUCCUCUACACACUACUUCAACGCGUGUACGGAUCGCUCCGUAUCUGUGUAUUUGGAUCUUCGCGUAAGGAUGGAGAGCAGCUAGUCCUUCUUCGGUCAACUCCGUCAGCGAGGUGGCACUCCAUAGAGCCGCUGGCACCCGACGGCGCGCAGGAGGCCGACUACGUUGAAUGCUGCAGUCUGCGUCGUCUGUGGAACUCGAUGCAAGCCUACUGCGGUAGAGGCAUUCACCUCUUGUUAACCGCGUGCGAUGCAGCGGCGGCGCACCAACACUCUCGACGUCCUCGGGAAGUUUGCCGCUGCUUCGAUGUGCGAUUGAGGCGGCGCAGCUCGUAACCAUCACGAUAAAUAUAAUUAACUUUGAUUCAU